rnacentral:rRNA from 1 species
AUUGAACGCUGGCGGCAUGCCUAACACAUGCAAGUCGAGCGGCAGCGCGGAGCAAUCUGGCGGCGAGCGGCGGACGGGUGAGGAAUACAUCGGAAUCUGCCCUUUUGUGGGGGACAACUCAGGGAAACUUGAGCUAUUACCGCAUGAUGUCGAGAGACCAAAGCUGGGGACCUUCGGGCCUGGCGCAGGAGGAUGAGCCGAUGUCGGAUUAGCUAGUUGGUAGGGUAAAGGCCUACCAAGGCGACGAUCCGUAGCUGGUCUGAGAGGAUGAUCAGCCACACUGGAACUGAGACACGGUCCAGACUCGUGAUGCU